rnacentral:tRNA from 1 species
GGGCGUGUGGCCUAGUCAGGACACGGCGGCAGCCUCCUAUAGCUGCAAAUCGCGGGUUCAAAUCCCGUCACGCCCG